AGUGAACGCUGGCGGUAGGCCUAACACAUGCAAGUCGAACGGCAGCACAGUAAGAGCUUGCUCUUACGGGUGGCGAGUGGCGGACGGGUGAGGAAUACAUCGGAAUCUACUUUUUCGUGGGGGAUAACGUAGGGAAACUUACGCUAAUACCGCAUACGACCUACGGGUGAAAGCAGGGGAUCUUCGGACCUUGCGCGAUUGAAUGAGCCGAUGUCGGAUUAGCUAGUUGGCGGGGUAAAGGCCCACCAAGGCGACGAUCCGUAGCUGGUCUGAGAGGAUGAUCAGCCACACUGGAACUGAGACACGGUCCAGACUCCUACGGGAGGCAGCAGUGGGGAAUAUUGGACAAUGGGCGCAAGACUGAUCCAGCCAUACCGCGUGGGUGAAGAAGGCCUUCGGGUUGUAAAGCCCUUUUGUUGGGAAAGAAAAGCAGCAGGUUAAUACCCCGCUGUUAUGACGGUACCCAAAGAAUAAGCAACGGCUAACUUCGUG
rnacentral:rRNA from 1 species